UAAUGGAGCAGAUAAAGAGCAAUAAUAGAGCUGAUAAAGAAGAAUAAUGGAGCAGAUACGACAACGGAAGAUAUUUUGACUUAUUGUGCAAAAUUUCCUUACGAUACAAUAAAGUAAAUCAAGUAAUGCUUUUAUUACUUUUCUUACUUACAUUUAUGACUUUAGAGUAGGGUAGGUUAGGAGGCCACCAUUUUUGACUUUUUUUAGUUUUUAGAAACUAAGAAACAUGUGUAAAUUAAACUUUUUUCGUUCUAUAUAACAAAGGCAGAAGGCAUUGCAAAAAGCAAGCCUUCAUGCGUUGAAGCACCUUUGCUCUCUCCAAUCCACAAAAAAUAUUUUACUCAGUUAAUUAGAUAAACAUAUUCCAAUGGAAAAAGCUAUGGAACAACAAAACUCAGAAAUAACAAAGCUACCCGAACAGGUAUAUCUAUUUAUGAUUAUGAAUAGCUAAUUUCAUAAUUCCCAACAAUCAUGAUAUGAUAAAAUAAAUUCAUAUUAGUUACUUUAUAGUAGAAUUAUUCGAAGAAUAAUAUGUUAAGAAGUUUAUUAACAAAGAGGAAACGGAGAAAUAUCCCUAAGGACUAUGCCAUCCUAAAGGUGAAACCAAUGAGGCAAGAAGCCGUGGCGGGGAGUAACCAGAGUAGAGGCGCUGUUUAAGGGAAAAAGUAUCCGGAUUACCAUGUUAAUAGUGACGGAAGAACAUAUUAUUUAAGAAUAAUCUAGUAUAUAGUAAGCUAAGAUGACUAUAUUUUAUGUACAUGGUUGAAGGGAAUAUUUUGAAAAAAGCAAUUUUAUGAAAAUGAAUGAUAAUAUAUCUGAUGUGAUGGUAGAUAAAUUCAAAAUACUUAUUUUGUAUGCACUUAGAAAUAUAAAAGUAGCAGAUAUAAGAAAAAUCAUAUUAGAAAAAGCUUUUGGUGAAUAUUACAUGACUAGAGUAAAUUAUAUACCAUAUCUACCUAACUACUCUUACACAUAUUUACGAUGAUAAGUUACAUAAAAUUUUUAGAAAAAGAUAUAAAAAAAAAAUAUAUGCAGUUACUAGAAAAACAGAUAAAAAUAAAUUUUGAGAAAUACAUGGAAAAUAAAGAUAUAAAAUUUCUUUAAAAUAUGCAAAAACUACUAAGGCUAAAACAAACAACUACAAAACACUAUAAUAAAACCAAUUUUGAAAGAUAGAUUAUCUAGAUUAUCUCAAAGUUUUAAUUUUAUACAUACUUAAAGAUAUAGAAAUAAUAGAUAUCAAGAAAAUAAUAUUAGAAGAAGUAAUAAACUAUGAAAUUGAAACUGCAAAUUGUCUAGAACAGUUAUACGAAGAAAUUUACCCAGAAGGAUAUUAUUCAGAUUAAAAAAUGUUAGAAUAUAUUAGACAAACUAGAGAAAAUCAAGAAAAUCUAAAUAAUGAAAUUAAUUAUAGAAACCGAAUUAGAAAAAUAAUGGAAGACCUAAAAAAAAAAUUAAUAUGGAUAGAAAAAACCUUAGAAAAUUUAGAUAAAAGUACAUGUGAUAGUUUAUAUAAUUUAAAAAACUCACUACGAGAAGAACAACAUAAGAUAAUAAAUAACAUUGAAAAUCUAGAAUUAGAUAUACAUUAUAGCACAGAUAGGAUAAAUUAUUAUACAGAAAUUUGUAACUCUGCAAUUACUACAGGAUAAAAAUUUUUAAUGAAUAUAUCUUACGAAAAAGGUAAAUUAUUAAAAGGUAUUGAAACAAAAUUUAAAAAAUAUCCACGCACAAAUAAAAAUAGAUUCACUAGAAACCUAUUAAAUCUAUUAUACCUAUUAAAUCCGCACACCCCUGCAAAUAAAUAAAUUUCAUGUGGUUUUCUUUUAUCUAAAGAUGGGAUAUAAAUAUUUUCAACUCUCCUUGAGUGUGUGCUGAAUAGAUAGUUUGGUUUAAACUAUUAUCAUCCCUCUCUUGAAACAUGUUUUGCUCCUAAAAAUACUAGUUUAGGUACUAGUUUACUUAAUUUAAAAUACUAAAAGAGUAUUCGGGUUUCAUACACCCCUUUUAUUGUUUUUUUUUAUAGGGUAAUAGCGAAUCCACGCUUUCGGUUUGGCAAAUACUUCAUCCUAGUUUUGGUUUUCUUUAUUUUUUUCCCAUUUACGUUACGAGAAUUGGAUCACAAAUCAUAUUUUGAUGUCGAAUGAAGUCCCAUUCCUUGGGAGAAAAGGCAUCUAAUAAUAGUCCUCCAGAAAUAAAUCUAUGUCUGCUCCCUUUCUUAUUUUGCUAAGGUCCUUUACUUUGCUGAAGUUGUUUAAAGUAAAAGUAAUGGGAAAUGUAGUCUGAACUCUAAACACAAAUAAGUUAGGUUGUUAAAGCCCAUGAUAGUAAUUUGCCUUUGCAGCAAUCUCCAAUUUUGAUCCCAAAAGUUUUUUUUUUUUUUUUUUUUUUUUUUUUUUUUUAUCUUUUCUUGAAUUUCAUGUUUAAAUCCAUAGGUUUAUAGGCAGGUGUAAUAUUGGGCGAAUUAGUUGUCGAAAUAAGAUACAAAUGAAAUCUGAAAUAUGCCUUACGCGCAAGAAUGAUAUGUUCAACUUAUUUUCACGCAAGAAUAAUGCGUUCAGUUUUGGCUUGCUUCUCGAAUUAUAUUUCAAUUUCAUGUUUGUAUUCUAGUAUCGGGAUCGAGAUUGGAUUUUUCACAAUCCUUUUAGUGUUGAAACGUUAAUAGAGUUGUGACGUAACUUGUGUGUACUAAAGUAUUUAAAUAUUAUAGGUACAAGAUAAUGCUGGAUAAUAGUAAUAAGUUUGGGUUCACAACACAGGAACCAACAUUGAUAUUAUAAUUCAAAAGGUUCUUAUAAUAUUGUUACGUCAUUAUAUCUGGCUUUGGCUCUUCAAAGGGAGCCAUGAGAUGCGUAGGCCUGUAUUCUCUUAAGUACAAAGUUGAUUGAAAUUGAAACAGAUCACCUCAAUUUGGCUCCUAGCAUUAUAUUUGGAGUAUGUUUAAGUCCAAUUAAAUGGAAAGGUGCUUCCUGGUUUACGUUAAUAAGUUUGUUUUCUUUGUUGGAACUAUAAACGAUGUUUGAUGUAAUUUGCUAAUAUCCAUCACUAAUUCAUGUAUAUUUCCUGAUUAUUUCAUAAGUUAUUAAUCUUUAAUUUUUUUUUUUAAACAUGUAAACUCGGGAGUUGGAGUUCCGCAGCGGAACUCGUUUCGACCCAACAUUGGGUCAAUCGCUACUAGGAGCAGAGCUUCGGAGUCGAGCAAAUUAGAAGCCCAUCUCCUAAAUGGAGUCUAGUAUCUCUUAUCUUCUUUGAAAUUAAUUUAUAUUUGUCAUGGUGAGUUUUAGAAUAAUACUAACUCCUGUAAUUGAAUCUUUUUAGACAACUUUACUUAAUUAUUAAAUUUAUGAUAUCUUGUUAUUUAUUGAUCCUUUAGAAGUAGUUUUAACAUUUCGACUUUCGCAAAUAACAUGCGGCUAUCGCUAAGGAAAAUAUUUUUUUCAUAAUCGGCUAAUUCUUUUGGAAAACUCUUUACCGAUAUCUUAAAUGAGAUUAGCAUAGGAAUCUUCACAUUUUUCUUUAAACUAUAACAAAAGACAAAUAAAUAGAUUUUCAGUUUUAACUUAAUCGAGAAAGAUAUCAAAUUUUCAGAUUUUUCCAAAAGAGUUUAUUCAUUAACUUUAACUUCUCUUUUU
rnacentral:lncRNA from 1 species